AGAAGUUCCAACUCGCCACCGGUUCUUCUCUCUGUGCUGCUGCUACGUUCUUCCUCAUCCCGUCCUGCGGUGUGCACCGUUCGUCGGGACAGUAGGCCUCCGAAACUCCGUCUCUUCGAGUCCUGUACGGGAGAAGGGCGAUAAGGUUUUUGGGGAGAGCUCAGCGCGACUACUGGCUUCCAUCACGGACACCGACGAUCUCUUCCCGGACGACGACUACUUCCCCGACGUUGACCACCUCUUCGGUACCAUGGCCAACGACAACGCCAACACCAAUCCUCCUGCUGCUGCAACUCACUACGUACUCAUGUGCUUCUUCUUUGAAUUCCUAUCACACCUUUUUGCUAUAGUUUCUCUGCUAGAUAUGUUCCGUUUCUACUCUUUACACCAUAUGAUACCU
rnacentral:lncRNA from 1 species